rnacentral:rRNA from 1 species
CAGCCUGCCCAGUGACAAAGUUAAACGGCCGCGGUAUCCUGACCGUGCGAAGGUAGCAUAAUCACUUGUUCUUUAAAUCAGGACUAGUAUGAACGGCCUCACGAGAGCUACACUGUCUCCCCCCUUCAAUCAGUGAAACUGAUCCCCUCGUGAAGAAGCGAGGAUGAUUAUAUAAGACGAGAAGACCCCAUGGAGCUUUAAACUUGUACCACUGCCCUAUACCUUCACCCAGACAUUACAGCACCCUGGCAACAAGUCUUUCGGCUGGGGCGACCACGGAGAAAAACAAAACCUCCAUGAUGAAAGGAACUCCCUAAUCAAAGGGCUACUACCCCAAGAAUCAACAAAUUGACACUUUGACCCAAACAUUUUGAUCAACGAACCAAGUUACCCUGGGGAUAACAGCGCAAUCCAUUUCGAGAGA